GGACUAGUAGCUCAGUGGUAGAGCACUUCAACAACGUAUUGAAGGUCCUAGGUUCGAGUCCUAGCUAGUCCA